GUCAAAAAAAGAAAAAAAAAAAAGAAAAAACAUUCAGUUCUCUUUUAUUUAGAACACUUUUUAUUUACAACUUUCCUCUUCCAUGGUUUGCUAUACUUCUCAUCUCAGUCCAAGAUAUUGCUCCCUGAUUUCUUUCUUUUUUCUUUUUUUAGCCCACAGGGUUUCUCACCACCUGAACUGCAAACACUGUCAGAGUGUAUUGAUGGCUUUCAUAUUAUAUGUUGACAAUGCUACUACUCGGGAGUGGAAAUGUGGUCAAAAAGACAGAUAUGACUGUCCAUCUUUCCAGAGAGUAGUGCUGUGAGAUGAAGUCAAUCAACCUGAGCAUCUGCCUGGGUCAGCAGACCAGAAGAGACUUUUGACACGGGAAUAUAUAGCUCUCCCUCCAGAAUGCUUUCUGAUUUCAACUUUGGACUCCUCUUAUUGUUUUUAAGAAGGAAGUUUGAUGUUCUUAUCUCAGGUAAACUGUCUACAUUCUCUUAUGCUGUUUUUCAUCACCAAGGCAUUUUAAGAUGAUCCAUCUCAUAAUUUUAACACAAAACACAUUUUCUGAUUGCAUUCUUACUUCUUAGAGCCUGAUUUUAAAAAGUUAAAAGGGGGAAAUGAAAUCUGCCUUCUGCAAGACACAGAACACAUUACUGUUGUGUAUUUGUCAGGUUUCCAAAAGUAAAAUUAAAAUGGGAAUGAUAAAUGAAGGUGGUGUUCCCAUGUUUCCUUCUCUUUUUAAGUCCACUUAAUUCUCCUCCUCUCUUCCAUGAUCAAUAUCUUACCCUUAACAACACCAGUUCCUGUUGUUCACAUUCUAUUUAAUUACACAGAUGUCUGUCCAGUUCUUAUUAAGUUCAAGUCCUAGAAUGAUAGAGCAGUCUUGUCUUAUGUGUGGAUAGGAAUGCACAUCGAAAAGAAGUGGAAUAUAGUGAUCAUGAUUUAUUAAAGCUAUAAUUAUUUUACUCAACAAAUAUUAAACACCGGGUACACAAAGAUGGUUUAGAUGCCAAUUCUGCCCAGGUUAUUAGAGAAGGACUAUUAUAAACAUGUCAUUAUAAUAGAAUGUGCUAAGUGUUAUAAUUGAAGCACAUACAAAAUUCUGCAUAAGUUCGGAACAAGAAUUCAUGCAGAAUAAGAACUAUUAACUCAUGGAGAGAGAGGUCAAGGAAGGUGUCAUAAAGAAGUGGUACUCAGAAACAGAGGAGUAGUGCAGCAAAAAGAGAGUAUAAUUGCUAUUCCAGGCAGUGUGUGUGCCAUGUGUCACGAAAUAGAUGAGGAAUACAUUUAUUAUUUGGGGAAAGGUAAAUUGUUCCCUGUAGCUAAAGAACAGGGUAAGUAGGAGAAAAUCUGGUAAAGAACUGGGGGCGGGGAAGAACUGGAUGAAGUCUAGCAUUGGCAGAAAUGACCAAUCAGUGUUUUAUGUUUUUUUUCACAUUUACUCCUCACAAAAAAUCUGAGUCAAGUGCUAGUAUCUUUAUUUUGCAAAAAAGC
rnacentral:lncRNA from 1 species